GCUCUUGUAGUUUAAUGGUAAAAAUGCCUCUCUAUUGAAGAGGAGUUCUGAGUUCAAAUCUCAGCGGGAGCA